rnacentral:lncRNA from 1 species
UCCCUUGCAUAAUGGCAGGCUCCUCCCCUCUGCACCGUUGGUCCACCCAGGUACCGCGCACGCCUUAAUGAAAUUUCAAAGUGGUUUGUCCAUUUCAAUUAAUAGUAGUUUUCUCCAUAAAUUUUUUCAUCUCCGUAAAAAUGAAUGCUCUCGCCAUCUCUCUGUAGCAUUUUCCUCUGUCUAAACCUUUUCAAUACUUUCACUCCCUGCAACACUGGUAAAAUGUCAGCCCCUGAGUGAAGUCGAGGUUGUGGGAUGGGAUGAGGAUUGAGGAGCGAGAAAGGAUUAGAGAGACAGAGACGGAUGGCGAUCGGGUGAGAAAGGGCUAAAUAGAGAGAGAGGAAUGGUGAUGAUACGAAGGCGUGCAGGGAGUUGCAGAGGUUCCUUUAACAUCUGAGGAGCUUGAGUAUCGGCCAAGCCUCAGCUGCAGAGAGAGAGUCUGACUUUCGCUUCACGCCAGAGUUUGGGGAAGAGAAAGGGUAUCUCUGCAAGUUCCCCAAAACCUGCGUGCUCUUCUUCUCUCUCAUCUUUUUCGUCCAAUCCUUUGUAACACACCCCACCAAAACCCCAGUUUCUCCCCAUUCUUCAAUCUUUUAACUGCAAGUAAGAAAACAAAGAGUGCACUGCCUUUCUUUUCUUCAGACCUACGGACGACAGAUAAAGGGC